GUGCGAUCUAUCGCAUGCGUGGUGAAUUCUUUUGUUAUUCCAUUCUUUAUUAUUCUGUUGGAAUAUCCUAUUUGUGCGGAUUACGCAUGACCUGGUUCCAUUCUUUAUUAUUCUGUUGGAAUAACCUGUCUAUGUGGAUUAUCACAUGCAUGGUGAAUGAUCCUUCGUAUUCAUUCCUUAUUAGAUUGUGGAAAUGAUCUGUUUAC
rnacentral:lncRNA from 1 species